AGCAAAUGAAGGUUUAUUUGUAAGUAUAUAAAAUAAAAUAAUAUUAAUAAUGUAUCAACCGCAUCUAGAUCGAUAGUGCUCGUCAAGGCAAAUCUAUUGAGCCCAAACACGAUGGAGUUAUGAUGAGUAGAUUAGGAGUUCUGGUGACCAACUCCUGACUCCAUCAUGAGAACCUGGACUUCAUCUAGAUCGAUGGUGCUUGUCGGGGCAUAUCUAUUGAUCCCAAACACGAUGGAGUUAUGAUGAGUAGAUUAGGACUUCUGGCGACCAACUCCUGACUCCAUCUCAUUAAUGGAGUCAGGAAUUGGUCACCAGAAGGGUCUCGUGACUCUGGCCCUCAUCUAGAUAGAUGGUGCUCGUCAGGGCAAAUCUAAUGAGCCCAAGCACAAUGGAUGAUAAUGAGUAGAUUAGGAUUUCUGGUGACCAACUCCUGACUCCAUCAUGAGAACCUGGACUUCAUCUAGAUCGAUGGUGCUCGUCGGGGCAAAUCUAUUGAGCCCAAACACGAUGGACUUAUUAUGAGUAGAUUAGGACUUCUGGUGAGUUCUGGUGACCAACUCCUGAUUCCAUCAUGAGAACCUGGACCUCAUCUAGAUUCGUGGUGUUCGUCAAGGCAAAUCUAUGGAGCCCAAACACGAUGGAGUUAUGAUGAGUAGAUUAGGAGUUCGGUGACCAAUUCCUGACUCCAUCAUGAGAACCUGGACAUCAUCCAGGUCGUCCGGGUAUAAUAAAAAUGCAAACCCUAACCAGAAUUCAAGUAACACUGAAAAUCUAUCACAUAAGCGAGAGUCGGUUGUUAAAAUUAAAUAUGGUGUAAAAAAUGUACUCUCUUGGAUCAAGAUUUUCUAAUCAUAGUAUACAACACUUCUCGGAACUUGUUUGUUUGUUUACGAAGCAACGUGCGCCUGACGAUCGAGCACAGGUCCGUCCCCUAAGCGCGCUCGGCGGAGAAUGAGCGCGCGGCGUCUCUGCAGCGUGAUUUAUAGGUCUUUUAAAAAAAUAUAGGUUUACGGCAAGGUAGGUCCUACAGUUAUGAUUUUUUUUAAAUGAGUUAACAUAAAGUUACAGUUUGAUAAAAUAUUUUUUUUGUGGCAAAAUAUAAGUCCAAUUUGCGAUAAAAAAAUGUAAUGUAACCCUGUUUUCACCAAAAAAAAUAAGAAAACUCGGAAGGUAUUUUAUCAUUUUUUUUAAAUGAAAGUUCGAUUUUUCAGCAUGUCAGCCCCUCGUACAAGAUAUGGUGAGUUGGAUUGUAAUCAUUCAUGUACCAAAUGAUUCUUGUUUACUGCAAAAUUGAGAACCGAAACGACCCUUCUCACUGCAAAUUUUUAAAAAGACUCCUAAGAAAACUCAUU